GAUGAACGCUGGCGGCGUGCCUAAUACAUGCAAGUCGAGCGAACAGAUGAGGAGCUUGCUCCUCUGACGUUAGCGGCGGACGGGUGAGUAACACGUGGAUAACCUACCUAUAAGACUGGGAUAACUUCGGGAAACCGGAGCUAAUACCGGAUAAUAUAUUGAACCGCAUGGUUCAAUAGUGAAAGACGGUUUUGCUGUCACUUAUAGAUGGAUCCGCGCCGCAUUAGCUAGUUGGUAAGGUAACGGCUUACCAAGGCAACGAUGCGUAGCCGACCUGAGAGGGUGAUCGGCCACACUAGAACUGAGACACGGUCCAGACUCCUACGGGAGGCAGCAGUAGGGAAUCUUCCGCAAUGGGCGAAAGCCUGACGGAGCAACGCCGCGUGAGUGAUGAAGGUCUUCGGAUCGUAAAACUCUGUUAUUAGGGAAGAACAAAUGUGUAAGUAACUAUGCACGUCUUGACGGUACCUAAUCAGAAAGCCACGGCUAACUACGUG
rnacentral:rRNA from 1 species